UACGGAGGGUGCAAGCGUUAUCCGGAUUCACUGGGUUUAAAGGGUGCGUAGGUGGGUUGGUAAGUCAGUGGUGAAAUCCCCGAGCUUAACUUGGGAACUGCCAUUGAUACUAUCAGUCUUGAAUACCGUGGAGGUCGGCGGAAUAUGUCAUGUAGCGGUGAAAAUGCUUAGAUAUGACAUAGAACACCAAUUGCGAAGGCAGCUGACUACGCGAGUAUUGACACUGAGGCACGAAAAGCGUGGGGAUCAAACAGG
rnacentral:rRNA from 1 species